rnacentral:tRNA from 1 species
CUAAGGAUGAUCCUUCAGCGAGCCUCAAGCUCACUAUCGGAUCGUUUUAGAAACAUCAGUGGCCAACAGAUCGCCAGAUCGUUGAGCUGCAUUGGCGGGAUUUCGCCGUCUUCGUUUCUCUUUCUUCGCGGACGAACACGCGCUGGGUCUGCUUGAGCAGAACCAUGGUCCUUGACGGGAUAUGCGUUAGGGGCUUGUAGCUCAGUUGGUUAGAGCGCGCGCUUGAUAAGCGUGAGGUCGGAAGUUCAAGUCUUCCCAGGCCCACCACUUUCAUCGAGUGAGCAUUCGUCUUCUGGUUACGGGGCCAUAGCUCAGCUGGGAGAGCGCGUGCUUUGCAAGCAUGAGGUCGUCGGUUCGAUCCCGUCUGGCUCCACCAGAUGGUUUGAUCACCGAGAUCUUGUACCGUCGUCCGCGAAACAUCACUUCGCAUCCUGCUAGUCUGGAUAGACAGCAAGAUGCGUGUUUUCUGACAUCGUAAAGAGGAGAUCGAUCCGAGUUGGGUCGUGCAGCAAAUUGUUGCGCGAGCCUUCAUUAUCUCCGGAUCAUUUUCGGCGCUCGCGUCCGACCGCAAGGUUGGCUGCGAGUUGUAAAAUGAUCCUUUUAGCGAAGCUUGACCGCCUCGCUAUCGGAACGAUCUUACGAAGCAAGCUGGUCUUUCUAGUCAAUGUCCGGCUGCACAUAGCGUUCAUCGAGGGCGCGUGCCGCAAGGCAAUUGUGCAGACAACAUUCUGCCGAGUGUGUGGACAUUGAUAAUGAGAGC